UACGUAGGUGGCAAGCGUUGUCCGGAUUUACUGGGCGUAAAGAGCGCGCAGGCGGUCGUUCAAGUCGCGUGUGAAAGCCCCCGGCUCAACUGGGGAGGGUCACGCGAUACUGAUCGACUGGAAGGCAGGAGAGGGUAGUGGAAUUCCCGGUGUAGUGGUGAAAUGCGUAGAUAUCCGGAGGAACACCAGUGGCGAAGGCGACUUUCUGGCCUGUUCUUGACGCUGAGGCGCGAAAGCUAGGGGAGCAAACGGG
rnacentral:rRNA from 1 species